ensembl:lncRNA FAM99A family with sequence similarity 99 member A
GGCUGCAGGCACUCCUGGGAGCAGGAGGAGGGUGGCCUGUCCUGGGCAGACCAGCCUCUCUGGGCUGUGUGGCCCCAGCUCCCUGAGCCCAGAGGGAGGUGAGGGUGAGAAGGCCUGGACCAGGCAGGACGCAGCCCCCAGGGCCCCUGCUGGGAAGAGGUCAGAACCUCCCAAGGACCCAGAAGGCCAGAACACACUAGAGGGUCCCGCCAUCCUGAUGAGUCCACUGUCCCCGCGAUGGUUUUCAGGGAUGGAGAAGGCUCCCUGUCCUCCGCUGGAACCCUGCAGCCGGGCUGACGAGACCCCAGCGAGACCUGCAGAACAUUACAGCAGAAUGAAGGAGAGCCAGAGGAAGAGGCAGAUGUGCUGGCCUGUAAACAGUCUGAUUUCCAAUGUAAACCAGAUUCAGGCCCACGACAUCAGGUAAACAUCUGCAUCAGAGCCCCCGGCCCCCCACCGCCCGGGAGGCCCCGGGGUCCACACGGCCGACUCUGGGACCCGUCACAGUGACCGCCGAGACAUUUCGUAAUUAGGCAAAAUUGAUCCUUGCAUUCCUUCCCUAAAUCCCAAAUCUCUGCAAUUUUACUUCUUCUCAAAAAUGAAAACAUUUGGCAAUUAGCUGAUCCAAGUGAAAAAGGUAGAGAAUGUGCUCUCAACUGGAAAAUGCCAAUUAAGGAAGCAGCUCUGACUUCCCACCCGCCCUGGCUAAGCUGGGAGCUUAUCUUCCCCGAGAAGAAUCUGCUGGGAUAAGGGGGCUUGGGAAACACCGAGGGCAGGGCUGCCUCCUCAGCUUCCUCUGAGAGCAGAUUAGCCGUGGCCUUGUGCCAGCAGGGCCUGGGUGCCACACAGGGUGGCAGGGGUGGCAGAGCCGGGCCCGGCUCUGGUACUGGGAUUUGGGGUGGCGGGACCCAGUGGGGCACCCGCUUGUGGGCGGCACUGAGGGCGGUGACGUAGGCAGCGGGUGCCGGUGUCUGCCCCUCCAUCUGGCCGGGCUCCCCACCCUGCUCCUGCAGCCCUGGACCUCAGGGCCCAUUUGCGGUGCAAGGCGGCUCUUGGCCAUUUUGCCCGCAGGGCCCUACCUUGGGUCUUGGGAGCUUCUGUCCCUUGCCCUCUCUUGUCCAGGUCAGCAUCUCCCACUGUGGGAAUCCUAUGUGGCCCCAUCGUCUGGACAGUGUGGGUCAGGUCACUGUGGCUGUUUUGUGAUGCGUGUGUGGGCUCAUCCCUCAGUGCUCAGAAGCUGCAGACACUAUGGAACCGCUUUUCAGGCCCCGUGGCCGUCACCCCCGCUCUAGAGACUUGAUUGCAGGGACCAUGCCCGGCCGGCCUAACUGCACCCCUCACUCCAGGUGGGUGGGGGGACCCAGGCCUGCUGGCCCCUGUGGUGGUGCAGCCCAGAAGGUGUGAAUCAGUUUACACUGUUCAGUGCCUGAAUAAAAGUCACAGGACAAAGAGGA